GCUUACCAUUCAUACUAGUCUAGAGUCUAGAAUAGAAUAGAAUCCAUUUUGGUAAUCCCCAAAUUACAAUAACCAGAGAGGAUUUAUCCGGAGCCAAUGGAUGGAGAAGCCAACAGACAAUAGGAGGAUUAAGGAAGGUGUCGUAGCCGGAGCUGUUGGUGAGGCCGUUGAAAGUGAUGAGGUUACUGGACUCUACCAUCUCUGAAACACACACAGAGGACAGAGCAUGGAUCUGUGGUUGGCACUAGUUACCACAGCCACAAAGUCAGAAGGCCCGCCUACUUGACCAAUCAGAUGAGG